ensembl:lncRNA
GUGUUUUUUUAUCUGUGGUAAAGUGGGAAUUUUUUCUUUUUCUUUUUUUUUGUGCUGUAGACAGUUUUUUUGUCGUCUGGACAUAGUUUGCAUGCAACGACUUUAACACCUCUGUAUAUUCACAAUGCUGUGUAUAUAGACAGCAUAGUUGAUUUAUAAUGAGAAUAGUAUAUUUUUGAUGUGACACAUUGCCUGAUUGCAGAGUAGGCAUGUUGUCAUGCACACUGCAUAGACUUACUGUAGCUGCGGUUUGGUUCUAUGUAGCGAGUGGUCAUUCACCAGACGCCACACAGUGAGGGUGAGGAACAUGAGAACAUGGAAGAAGAGGAAGGUAGCACAGGCUCCUCUCGAGGAUCCCUACAAUGGCACAACUUCUGAGCAACAUCUGCAAUUCCACUGUAAGAGCAUGCGACGAGAUCUCACUGAUGCGCUUUAUCAAGUGCCUGUUUACUGGUCUUACUUUGAUCUACGGAGGGGUGAAGACCAGUGACAACCAGAAAAGAAAGACAAUCGUGAUAUACUGUUCACUGCAUUGCAUUUAGCGUUCUCUCUCUUCUUUCAUGAGAAUAUCUUUGUAAAUAGCAAAAGCAAUUUUAAUUUUCAGAUACAGUUUGAGCCCUUGAACUCUUGUUGGUGGUAACAGAUAUGAAUCCCUCUCUUUGUGGCAGCUCUGUUGAUAGGUUUAUUCUUAUUUUAAUUAUUAUUUUUAUAUGAGUCUUUUUUAAAUUAAAGUGAAGAAGUGUCAUACUGACAUACAUGGUAAACUACUUGGAUUUCAUGCCCUGACAGAUGCAAUUCAAAUAUGUAUAAAAGUAGCACACACUGCCUGCCCUGAAGUUUUCUUUGUGUCUAACUGUGAAACGUUUUAUAGUAAAGACUUUUGUGCUGUACAGAUGCCGUCUAUGCCUUUCAGCCUUCUUAGAAAUGUUUCUCAGACUUCAUUCUGACACUUUCAUACUGUGGUUUUGUUUGCCAUUUACAAUAAAAGUCUGUGAAAACCAUUGACUGUGGUACUU